UGAUUUAUUCAUCACCACCCCCUUUUUCAUGCCAUGCUAUUUAUGGUGUGUUCGGCAGGGGAAAGACAGAUCCAUCUUUAUGGGCCCGCGGCUAUUGCCAUUUCUUAGCUAGUGUAGCCCUACAUAGGUGUGACACAGCCACAUUCCUGGACUCUCUUGUCCCAGUGGCCAGAGGCUGAGGGAAGAGCCGAGGCAGGACCAACCCUUUCUACAGCGUCUACGGCAACUUAGCUAUGCAGAAAACAGUUGAUAUAAGUUACCGGAAUGUAAGAAUUUUGUUGGAUCUUUGGAGCCAUGAAGAGGAAUGGAGCUGUGGAACAGGAAAGAGUUACCGAACUCUUGUCAUGAGUAAAUUUGCACAGUCGUUUUCACAGGACCUAAACAGGACCAGCCCUACUACAUCUAUAAAUACUCAACUUUGCAAACAAACUGCACCAGAGCACAGACAGAGUUCUGACUCCUGUCCUCUGAAGAUGCCGGCCACAGAGACUGGCGAAACGUUAGGAAGAACAACCUUCAGAAAUGGCCAAAGAGCCCGAAAAACCCACAACAACCAUCAAGAAUAGGGUUGUAGUGUUAAUCUGGAUCCAAACUACCUUGCAUAAUUGAGGCAAACGAAACCUUUGAGGGUUUGGGAUUAUUGUUUUGCAGCAGUACCACUUAGUUUUUUUUGUCUCUGAAUGCUAGUUGUAGUCGGUGUUUAGAAGUUUAGUUUUCUAGCUACUGACUGGUAACUCUUCCAAAAAGUUGCAUUUCCAAACUGUGGCCUGUAGUGCAGGGUGUGAUCAUGUGCAGGUUGUCCUAGUUUGGCUUCUUAAUUAUCUACUUCCCAGAAAUUUCAGAUGUAUGCAAAUUCAAAGAAGGGGCAAUUUGAAUACAUCUAAAUACUAGCAAACAAUCCUUCCCAUGUGUUUUCUUUAAGGCUACCGAAAUAGACAAGCCAUUAAAAGUGAUCCUUGUGUAUAAAUGCAAAUUGGCUCUCCUUAGGGAUUUUACUUGAGGAACAAAUGAAAGGUGAUAUAUAAAAAUACUCCACGCUGAGGAAAUAAGUUUACAGUUCCAAACCCUAGGUUUAUUUCUCUCAGUGCAUGGGCUUGCCACUCCUUCUCUCCCGAUAUCAGCUUUGCAAAGAGCCUUGUUGAAAUAGUUACCUCAUCUUUCUUAACCUCUUGUGACAGAGAACCUGUCUGGCUGCAUAGAUAUUUCAAACUGGACUGAUAAGACUAAGAAAACAAGUUCACCUCCCACAAGCUUCAUAGGCUAAAACAAGCUGUUCACAUGUUUUUGGCUUGUGCACCACAUGCCUGGACCUUCAUGCUGUGCGCUGCCUUCCUGUUUCCCCAAGGAUAUCAAGGGAAGUCAAAUCAAUGUGCUCAUGUUCGCUGUGCAAAAAAGGGCAGUGGAAUCCAAGCACCAAGAAUAGGGGCAAUUUUAUAAGUUUGUUGAUAUACAUAUACCACAGAGGCUAAACCAGUCAUAAAACAAAAAUCCCUGGUUCAUUCCCUCCAGGACACACUGUUUCAUUGCAGCAGCUUUCACACAAGAAUAUAAGAAGUGCCAUGGAUCAAGGCCUAUCUGAUCCAGCAUCCUGUUCCCCACAGUGGCCUCAGGGAGGCCCAGACGCUGGACAGGAGGGCAACAGCAUCUUCUCACAGAUGUUCCCCAGCAAAUCAUAUUCAGAGGUAUGGUGCCUGCAGGUACUGUUCAGCCAUCAUAGCUAACGGUCAUUGACAAACUUCUUUAGCAUAACUUUCUCUAAUCUUUUUGGAAAACUAUCUAAGUUAGAGGCCAUCACUCCACCCUGAGGAAAUGGAUUCCAUAGUUGGAUUGUGUUUUUUGGUGAAAAGGGAGCUCCUGCUAUUCUGUCUGUCCUGAGUCUCACACUACGGUGAAAUGGUGAGACAGAAGAGAGAUUCUGGCAGUAUUUUGAAUUUUACUCUAUCUUCUUUUUCCACACUGUGCACAGGUUUAUGCAUUUCAGCUAUGUUCUGGUUACACAUCUGUUGGGGGGGGAAAGCAGUCCCAAAUAAAUAAU
rnacentral:lncRNA from 1 species